AGGAGGCAUACCAAACAGGCAGAAGAAAAGUCUUGGUGACCCUGAAGGUCUGGAUGACUUGGUGAAGAAAUAUAAUACUGGAGGAUUUGCUUUGGAGAGGGAAAAAAAAAUACUAUUUGAGAAGAAGGUUACUUGCCUGACCAGAAAAAUGAUUGAGGGAACCCUAUUUUAAAAGAGCUGGAUGCCUAAGCCUGAAUAAUAAACUAGGAACUGCUGUUGAAAUAACGCAAGGAAUUUCUGAAGGAAAGACAAGAGGGGACCUUGGCAAAACAAGAAGCUACACCUGACAGAUGACUUCAGUUUUCAGAGGAACUAAACUGCAAAUUUCAAUCAACUGGUGGCUGGGACAGAAGAAGAUCCAAACAAGCCUUUCCUGAGGGAAAAGCUGGAGCGGAAACUCAAAUAUAUGAUCAAAAACUGGAGCAGCAAGGCAGUGGAAGUGCUGUAGUCUUGAAGCAAGGCUUGGCCAGAAAUUGGUAUUCAGAGAGCUCAGCAGGAUGUCAGGCUCCAGGUGUUGUGCUGAUCAUGGGAUGAUUCACAUUAUGAGGAAAGAGGAAUACUUGUGAAUAAUUUCUUCAUAGAUACAGACUUUUUCACAUUUCCUUAUUUGAAGAAAAUGACAAGUUUUAGUCUGAAAAAUUUAAAAGAAUGUGAAGAAAAUGCAGUUAUUUUCCUGAAUUUUCUAGACAACACUGGAAAUCUCACACAUCACUUUUUUUUGUCUGAAGUCCUUCUGUUCAUUCAUUUGCCUAAUGAUCCUAUACAUUUUUCUUUUUAUUUAUGAAUGUUAAGUAAGAACUAAUUGAUUUUUCUUUUUUAAUUGCAUCAAAAUACAGAUAUUUCCAGAAUGAAGUAAUUUGUACCAGAGAUCACCUUAUGGUCACCACAUAUAACAAAAGGUUAGAGAUUGCAAAUGGUAACUGUGGAGUGGUGAAAAAAAAAAUUAGUUUCGUGUGCAAAUUUUUUUUUCCUGUCUUUCCAUAUUUGCAAACAUAUGGAAAAUUCCUGUUUUGUGUGGGAGCCUCUCAUCUUUUCCACUUUCAAAUUAAAAAAUAAAAAACCCAAAAAAUUUCUAAGAGUCAAGGAGAAGAAUACAAGGUGGGGAACAACUGAGUAGGCAGCAAAUCUACAAAAGGGGAUUUGUGAGUCAGCAGAUCCACUCUGAUGAAAAAAGGAAUCCACAAUAAAUGAGGGGGUGCUGCAGAAGGUAUAGGAAGUAAUAUCUCUUUCCCAUAUGGAUAAAGCUCCAUCUGGGAUCCUGUGUCCAAGCUAAAUGCAGGUAACAGCUGGAGAAAUGCCCCAUGCCAACUGGCAAAAACCCAGAGAUGAACACCAAGAAUUAUUAGAGGUCCAGAAAACACAGCUAGUGAGACAAGAGCCAAGGAGUUGGGUUUGUUUAGUCUAGGGGAGGGAAGAAUGUGCAGAGACAUGAUAACAGCCACCAGGAACAGAACAAGGCACGAUGGUUUUGAAUUGCCUCAACAGAAAGAGGGUGGGAAUUAG